AAAUCUUGAUCCCUAAACAACAACGACAACAACAACAACAACAUCCAAAACAACAAGAAAUAAUAAGUGGACUUAAUACCUUUAACUACCUGGUAACAUGGAAAAAAGGUGGGAAUGGAAUGUUCCAGUAAUUCUAGAGAGAGAGAAAUGAGGAAAUGUUGGAGACAUAAUAAUGGCAUACGAUGUUUCAAAUGAACCUAUGACAAGAUAUUAUUUUAGAUAUUUGGAGAACAUUCCAGAAACACUGGAUAUCAGCUGGUUAAUUCUGUUGGUGUCUUGAUGUCACUGUGGUUCAAUAAUAAAGUAGUUCCUUAUUUUGACAUGACCGAUGAAGCAUUUAGUGGUCAAAUGGCUUGGGACCUCAUUUUGUUUUAAGAUAUUCCAGUUUAGGAAAUGUGGAUGUGGAUGAAGUAGGUGUGGGAAAGUGUUGGUGGUUAUUGAACCUGCAUAAUUGGUCUCUCAAGGUUUGCUGUACUCCAUAUUCGGAAAAUUUUAUUUAAAAAUUAACAUUGAAGACAGCUAUAUAUUUUAAUCUUGAAGCAGGAGAAGUGCUUUGUGAUGAAUGCGCUCAGAGCACACAAGGUCUUUGCUUUCUGACUGGUCUAGCAAAAACGGUUUUCUUGGAGUUACACAAUUUAGUCUCUUUGGAAAGGGGUUUGCAUAGUUCAGCAUGUUUCAUCUGAAGUUAAAUAGGUAUAUGUUUUAGGGACUUUUCAAAGGUCUUGAAAAUUUUUCUAUGUUCAGUGAUGUCACUAAGCUAAAAGGAAUGGGCAGGAUUUAUAAUGGCUCGGGGCAGUGGAGAUGGCGCAGUGGAUAAGAGUUCUUGCUUUGCAAGCACAAGGACCUGAGGUCGAAGCCUCAGCACCCAUGGAAAAAGCUGUGCUGUUCAUGUAACCCCAGUGUUGGAGGCUGGAGUCAGGCAGGGCUUGCUGGUCAUCGGCCUGGGAGAAGCGACAGGCUUCCGGUUCAGAGGGAGACCUUCUUUCACUGCGAAGAGGACACUUGAAUGUCCCCCUUUGCCUUCUGAGUCCAUAUAUGUGAUUGAUGUGCAUGCCCACAUCCCCAUGUACCAACACACACACACACACACACACAGAGUGAGAGACAGAGACAGAGAGACAGUGAGAGACAGAGAUAGAGAGAGACAGUGAGAGACAGAGAUAGAGAGAGACAGUGAGAGACAGAGAGAGACAGACAAAGAGAGAGACAGACAAAGAGAGAGACAGAGACAGAGAGAGACAGAGAUAAACACAGAGAAAGACAUAGACACACACACACACACACACACACACACACACACACAGAUUUACCAUAAUUCUUACUGCCAAAGCAAUUAUUUUUUUUACAAGUGCCCCCUUUCCUAUUAUCCUGGUGGUGAACAUCCAGGUUUUGGACUGUUCUUAUCUGCUUCUUAUCUUAGAAGAAAAUGGUCCACCUAUAUUCAGGUCCUUUCCCCCCUCACCCCUAGACAUGGUCUCCCCGUGUAAUCUAUCCUGGCCUCAAAUUUGUGCUCCUUUUGACCCAGCUUCCUGAGUGCUGGAAUUCCAGGCAUGUACCACCGUGCCUGACUCACUCUAUGGCUCUCCGUGCUACUUCCGUUUCUCUAUUUACUGGGCUCUGUUGUACAAAGCAGCACAGUAUAACACGCUUAGUGCACACAUGUAAGAUGCGUUGGUCGUAAUCGCCAUCAGCACACCACCUCCUGCUGCUUUUUUCUACUUUCAUGUCUCUUACUUUUAUUUUUGGGUUCCACACAUCACGAAAACAUGUGAGUCAAGUCUUCCUGAGUCUGACUGGCUUUGCUUAGCAUGAAGAUCUUCAGUCCCAUCCGCCUUCCUGGAAACAAGCAACCUGCUUCUCUUUUCCUUCUUAAUGGUGGAGCAGGAUGCUGUGCUUCUGUGUGGUGCGAGCCCCAGGACACUUAAAGUCAAGGACUCAUGACUAGUAUGAAUAGUGCCCAUAAAACCCACAGCUUCUUGACAUGCGAAUAAUAAUAAAAACUUGAGGUGACAUGGUGCUUUCUCUAACAUAAAUCAACCAAACAGAAUAAACAUGCUUGGUUCAGUGGGGCAGGUAUAAGCAUGAUGUGGUUGCUGACUUUAAUUGGCUAAUGGAUUUAGCUAAAAGCCCAGGUGGGGUCAUGGAAAGCUUCGAAAGGGUCACAAAGGGUGGGAGAUACGGUAGAGCGUUUCUGAAGGGGGUUAGCAUUUUGUCAUAGAACUCAGAAUCAAGUCGAGACUUAGGUCUCUAUUUGGGUUUGCGUAUCUGAUACCUGUUAUGUAACUGCUAAGCUCUAAGACCUGUCAUCACUAUCACACCAAAAAGCAGAGUUCUUUUGUGUGGCUUUCAGAGAGUAAGCAGAAAAAACAAUGUAAGACAUGGGAGAGCAAAGACAGCAGAAAAUUGCAGCAAGGCCCUCAAGAGGUCACCUCUGCCCAAAACCCUCAGUCUGGAAGACUGCCACCCAGAUGUCAGAGUCAACAGCGCCCUCUAGUCUGGCACCCGGAAAUGACAACACUGUUUGUAUGUGCAUGUGUGCCUCUGUGUGUGCCUCUGUGUUUGCACGAGUGUCUCUCUGUGUGUCUGCUGUAUGCAUGUGUGCUUGUGUGCUAUAUGCAUGUGUGUGCUGUAUGCAUGCUUGUGUGCUAUAUGCAUGUGUGUGUGUGCUGUAUACACGUGUGUAGGCUAGAUAAAAGCCUCAGGUGUCAUUCCUUAGGCACCAUCCACCUUCUUUUGUUAUUACAUUUAUUUGUUUGUUUAUAUUCUGUGUGUGUGUGUGUGUGUGUGUGUGUGUGUGUGUGUGUGUAUGUAUCUCUGUGUGUGUAGAGGCAGAGUUCUACUUGGGAGAGCUGUUCUCUCCUACUACUUGGGGCCUGGGGAUAGAACUUAGGUCAUCGGGGUUGGGGGCAGGCACUUCCCCCUCCCCUUACUGGCCCCACCUUCUUUUUGAGACAACAUCUUUCACUGAACUUGAACUUGCCAAAUAUACAAGACUGGCUAAUUAGUGAGUCCCAGAGACGCCCGCCCUGUUCAGAUUACAAGUGCACACCACCAUACCUGUCUCUGGCUUAAAACACAACAAACACACGAACUCUUGGGAUAAAUUCAGGUCUUCAUGCUUGCAAGGCAAACUUUUUUUUUUUAAACCAAUUAAGCUGUCUCCUCAGCCCCCAAGCGGAAAUGUAUAGAUUUCCUCUGGGUCGUUUCUCUAACUGCACUGGGUAAGAGGAAACAGGUUCCCAAGCACAGUGGAAACAGCUUUCUGUUGCAGGGGUUGCUCAACUCCUCAUGUGCCCUGAUUCGCUCACACAAUACUACAUCCUGAGUUAUCUCUGACCUUUUGACAUGGGGACACUUAGCUCCUAAUCGAUAAAAUGGGCGCAAUAAAAGUUCCAUUGUUAGACUGAGGCAAGUGAAUGAGAUCAGGACCCAUGGGAAUGCUGGGGGAUUGAUAGUUAUCAAUGAAUUAAUGAUUGGUGUCUUAGUGUCCUUAGGACAAUGAGGAGGCACAGAGAAAGGGACAGAGAGGAAGAUGCCUCAUUUUUAAAGGUUGUACUGAAAUUCCCAAUUUAAAAAAAUGACAAAAAAAAUGACAAAUGGAAACCAUUCCUGAUGGUUGAGCCUGGUUCUAAUUAGCCUCUUCAGAAUGUGAUAGCGUCUGUUGGAAGAGUUUGCUGUGGAGGGAUCGCUUUGCCUCCAGAAAGUGUUGGGUUCUGGGAAAUGUCUACCGGCAGAGGAAUUGACAAACCUAGACAUCGAGCCUUCUCCAAAGGUCAUCCUUGGUGCCCCACCUCCGCCGCCACCGCCACCACUGCGGUCCAGCUUGCUGCCGCACUAGUCACUUUCUCCCACUUUCUCUCAGCGGUUUUGUUUCCUAGUCGACCGGAAGUGCAACUAAUACCAAAGUAGCCUUCGUAAGUUCCGCGUAAGUUACCCAGAUUGUCAUGGAAACAAAGGGAGCGGUGGCUGGAGGCCUGAGGAGGAGGUAUCCUUUGUUUAAUUGCUGAUGAAGAUAGCAAGUGGAAAGGAAAUUUCAGGUCUGGGGGAAAAGAGAUCUGCUCACCAGGAGGAAAUGGAAGGACAUGUGUGUUUGUGUGCAUUUGCUCUGGCACAUGGAUACCUACACAAUCCAGGAAAAGGUGUUGGAUUCUCUGGACCUGGGGGAAGAGGUGGCUCUAAGAUGCUGGGAACUGAACUCCUGUAUGAGAGCAACAAGCCACUCUCAACCGCUGAGCCCUCUCUCCAGCCCCAACAACAGGGUUUUAAAAAUGACGGUGGGUGGCUCACACCAUCUGUAAUGGGAUCCGAUGCCUCCUUCUGGUGUGUCUGAAGACAGCUACAGUGUACUCACAUACAUAAAAUAAAUAAAAAAAAAAUGA